rnacentral:tRNA from 1 species
GGGGGAGUGUCGGAAUUGGCAGACGAGCGUGAUUUAGGAUCACGUGGAGAAAUCCGUGGGGGUUCGAGUCCCCCCUUCCCCACCA